GCUGCAGGAGGUGCUGCUGGGAUUCAAAGAGACGCUGCGACAGGGGCUGGGGAGCGACACAGCCAUCCCGAUGAUGAUUAAUUUCUGGGGAACAUCCUCAGCAGAAUUAUUUGAAGGUGUAGCACUGGAGAGUAAAGGCACAGAGGCAGUGGCUUGUGGGAAACGGGGCAGCAGAGUAACACCCACCUUUGGCUCCAGAUUGUCCCAGCCUCCCACAGGACAGGGAAGGGAACUGGCUGUAGUGGAGCCAGUCCAGGGGCCGGUGACCUUCGAGGAGGUGGCUGUGUAUUUCACCAGGG